rnacentral:lncRNA from 1 species
AUGUACCUCUACCAGAGCAGUUCACCUUGGAGACCAGGCAACUCCUGGAGAUGGUCACAGUCUGGGCUUCCUGCACCUUCCCAAGAUUUUGAGAACAUUUUAACUGGAGCAUUCAGUGCUGGGCUAUUCCAUCUGGGCCACAGCUGCAAGAGCAAGUCUGCAUUCCUGCAAGAGGAAGAGUUAAACCAGGCUUCAUCUCACAGCUCCAGAGAAAACACACACCCUGCUGGAUGGGCAUCCUUCCCCAUGAGCAAGGUAAAGGUGUGUUAA